CCAGGGACUUGCGUCCCUGGCUAGUGCAUGCCGUCGCUUCGCGACU
rnacentral:sRNA from 1 species